rnacentral:rRNA from 1 species
UGGGGAAUAUUGGACAAUGGGCGCAAGCCUGAUCCAGCCAUGCCGCGUGAGUGAUGAAGGCCCUAGGGUUGUAAAGCUCUUUCGGCGGGGACGAUAAUGACGGUACCCGCAGAAGAAGCCCCGGCUAACUUCGUGCCAGCAGCCGCGGUAAUACGAAGGGGGCUAGCGUUGCUCGGAAUCACUGGGCGUAAAGGGCGCGUAGGCGGAUCUUUAAGUCAGGGGUGAAAGCCCAGGGCUCAACCCUGGAAUUGCCUUUGAUACUGAGGAUCUCGAGACCGGAAGAGGUGAGUGGAACUGCGAGUGUAGAGGUGAAAUUCGUAGAUAUUCGCAAGAACACCAGUGGCGAAGGCGGCUCACUGGUCCGGGUCUGACGCUGAGGCGCGAAAGCGUGGGGAGCAAACAG